AGGGUUUGAUCAUGGCUCAGGACGAACGCUGGCGGCGUGCUUCAUACAUGCAAGUCGAACGAGAAUCUGGCUUCGGUCAGAGGACAGUGGCGGACGGGUGAGUAAAAUGUAGGAAAUCUGCCCUUAAGAGGGGGACAACAGAGGGAAACUUCUGCUAAUACCCCAUAUGAGCGUACCUGAGAUGGUAUUCUUGAAAACUCCGGUGCUUAAGGAUGAGCCUGCAUCUGAUUAGCUAGUUGGCGGUGUAAUGGACCACCAAGGCGACGAUCAGUAGCUGGUUUGAGAGGAUGAUCAGCCACAAUGGGACUGAGACACGGCCCAUACUCCUACGGGAGGCAGCAGUAGGGAAUUUUGCGCAAUGGGCGAAAGCCUGACGCAGCAACGCCGCGUGAUUGAUGAAGCCCUUCGGGGUGUAAAGAUCUGUCAGUGGGGACGAAACUUGACGGUACCCACAGAGGAAGCAUCGGCUAACUCCGUGCCAGCAGCCGCGGUAAUACGGGGGAUGCGAGCGUUGUCCGGAAUCAUUGGGCGUAAAGAGUUCGUAGGUGGUUUGUUAAGUCUGGUGUUAAAUGCAGAGGCUCAACUUCUGUCCGGCAUCGGAUACUGGCAGACUAGAAUGCGGUAGAGGUAAAGGGAAUUCCUGGUGUAGCGGUGAAAUGCGUAGAUAUCAGGAGGAACAUCGGUGGCGUAAGCGCUUUACUGGGCCGUAAUUGACACUGAGGAACGAAAGCCAGGGUAGCAAAUGGGAUUAGAUACCCCAGUAGUCCUGGCCGUA
rnacentral:rRNA from 1 species